GGCUCUGGUGGCGGCGGCGGCAGACACUUGGGGUCUGGACGCAACGGAGGCGGGAGCGUGAACGCCCCUCCAGCCUUCGAGUCGUUCUUGCUCUUCGAGGGCGAGAAGAAGAUCACCAUUAACAAGGACACCAAGGUACCCAAUGCCUGUUUAUUCACCAUCAACAAAGAAGACCACACACUGGGAAACAUCAUUAAAUCACAGUGUGACCUAAAGGACCCGCAAGUGCUAUUUGCUGGCUACAAAGUCCCCCACCCCUUGGAGCACAAGAUCAUCAUCCGAGUGCAGACCACGCCGGACUACAGCCCCCAGGAAGCCUUUACCAACGCCAUCACCGACCUCAUCAGUGAGCUGUCCCUGCUGGAGGAGCGCUUCCGGGUGAGGGCGGGGCCUGGAGGGGCAGACGGGGUGGGCUGGACACUGGCCCGUGUGCCCAGGCCUGGGACAGCCCUGGCCUGUUUCUUCGGAGGUCCUGGGGGAGAGGCGGCGGUGAUGGAAGAGCAGGGACUUCCACCACAGGCUCCAGGACAUGUGGACUGAGGGGCUGUGGAGUCUGGGCCUGUGGCUCCCGUCUGCCCCAUGGGACUUCUGUAGUGCUGCAGGGUCCCUCGGGUGCUGUGGGCCAGAUCAGGGCGGGGACCUACUGUCCUUUGGGGGUGCUCUUCUAUGUCCCUUGUCGGUGAUUGGCAAGGCCUGGUCCUUCCAGGCCUCUGGGAGGCAGCUCACACCAGGGUGGCCCACACCUGUUCCUGGCAGGGCGCCUGGGAAUCUAGAACAGUUUAGAGGGGAAAGAGCCACAGCAAAGAAAAGCCGAGGCAGGGUGAUCACGAGGUCAGGAGUUCAAGACCAGCCUAGCAAACAUGGUGAAGCCCUGUCUCUACUAAAAAUACAAAAAUUAGCUAGGCAUGGUGUCAUGUGCUGUAGUCCCAGCUACUCAGGAGGCUGAGGCAGGAGAAUCGCUUGAACCCGGGAGGCGGAGGUUGCGGUGAGCCGAGAUUGUGCCACUGCACUCCAGCCUAGGUAACAGAGCAGGACUCCAUCUCAGUCAAUCAAUCAAUCAAUCAAUCUCAGCGGUUGAACUACCCUUGACAUGGUUCAGCUCUGUAUCCACACCCAAAUCUCAUGUCAAAUUGUAAUUCCCAGUGUUGUGGGAGGGACCUGGUGGGAGGUGAUUGGCUCAUGGGGGCCGACUUCCCCCUUGCUGUUCUCGUGAUAUUGAGUGAGCGCUUGUGGGAUCUGGUUGUUUAAAAGCUUGCAGCCCUCCCACUUCACUCUCUCUGUCUCUCCUGCUCCAACAUGGCCAGACGUGCCUGCUUCCCCUUCGCCUUCUGCCGUGAUUGUCAGUUUCCUGAGGCCUCCCCAGCCACGCUUUCUGUACAGCCUGCAGAACUGUGAGUCAAUUAAACCUCUUUUCUUCAUAAA
rnacentral:lncRNA from 1 species